rnacentral:misc_RNA from 1 species
AAGAGACGUUGCCCUUCGGGGUAUACCUCCCACCCUUUGUUUAUUAUACCUUGUUGCUUUGGCGGGCCCGUCCUCGAACCACCGGCUUCUGCUGGUCAGUGCCCGCCAGAGGACCUAAAACUCUGUUUGUUAAUAUUGUCUGAGUACUAUAUAAUAGUUA